UACGUAGGGCGCAAGCGUUGUCCGGAAUUAUUGGGCGUAAAGAGCUCGUAGGCGGCCUGUUGCGUCCGCUGUGAAAUCCCGGGGCUCAACCCCGGGCCUGCAGUGGAUACGGGCUGGCUGGAGGCAGGCAGGGGAGAACGGAAUUCCUGGUGUAGCGGUGAAAUGCGUAGAGAUCGGAAAGAACACCAACGGCGAAAGCACUCUGCUGGGCCGACACUGACACUGAGAGACGAAAGCUAGGGGAGCGAAUGGG
rnacentral:rRNA from 1 species